GACGAACCGUGCAAACGUUGUUCGGAAUCACUGGGCUUAAAGGGUGCGUAGGUGGGAAGGUAAGUCAGUGGUGAAAUCUCCGGGCUUAACUCGGAAACUGCCAUUGAUACUAUCUGUCUUGAAUACCGUGGAGGUCAGCGGAAUAUGUCAUGUAGCGGUGAAAUGCUUAGAUAUGACAUAGAACACCAAUUGCGAAGGCAGCUGGCUACACGAAUAUUGACACUGAUGCACGAAAGCGUGGGGAUCAAACAGG
rnacentral:rRNA from 1 species